ensembl:lncRNA
AGGACCUUUAGGAUCACAGAUCUGUGAGAUCCUACAGUGGAUGGGGUGGAGGGGACCUUUAAGAUCAUACCAGAAUGGGAUCCCAAAAGAGUUGGGUUUUAUGGACGUGAAAGACCAUAGAACUGUGGGAUCCUACAAUGGUUGGGAUGGAGAGGACCUUUAGGAUCAUGGAACCAUGAGAUCCCACAAGGGUUGGGGUGGAAGGAAUCUCAAAGACCAUAACACCACAGGAUCCUACAAGGGUUGGGAUGGGAGGACCUUUAGGAUCAUGGAACCACGGGAUCCUACAAUGGUUGGGGUGGAGAGGACCUGUAGGAUUGUGGAACCACGGGAUCCUACAAUGGUUGGGGUGGAGGGAACCUUCAAGAUCAUAACACCACGGGAUCCUACAAGGGUUGGGGUGGAGAGGAUCUUUAGGAUCAUGGAACCACGGGAUCCUACAAUGGUUGGGGUGGAAGGAAUCUCAAAGACCAUAACACCACAGGAUCCUACAAGGGUUGGGAUGGGAGGACCUUUAGGAUCAUGGCACUGUGGGAUCCCACAAGGUUUGGGUUUUAAAGACCAUACAACCAUGAGAUCCUACAGUGGUUGGGUUGGGAGGAACCUUUAGGAUCAUGGAACCAUGGGAUCCUACAAUGGUUGGGGUGGGAGGACCUUUAGGAUUAUGGAACCAUGUGAUCCUAAAAGGGUUGCGGUGGGAGGACCUUUAGGAUCGUGGAACCACGGGAUCCUAAAAUGGUUGGGGUGGAAGGGACCUUGAAGACCGCAACACCACAGGAUCCUAAAAGGAUUGGGAUGGGAAGACCCUUAGGAUCAUGGCACUGUGGGAUCCCACAAGGUUUGGGUUUUAAAGACCAUACAACCAUGAGGUCCUACAGUGGUUGGGUUGGGAGGAAUAUUUAGGAUCAUGGAACCACGGGAUCCUAAAAUGGUUGGGGUGGAGGGGACCUUAAAGAUCAUAACACCACGGGAUCCUACAAAGGUUGGGGUGGAGAGGACCUUUAGGACCGUGGCUGCGUGGGAUCCCACAAGGUUAGGGUUGUAGGGAUCUCAAAGACCACAGAACUGUAGGAUCCUACAACGGUUGGGAUGGAGAGGACCUGUAGGAUCGUGGAACCACGGGAUCCUAUAAUGGUCGGGGUGGAAGGGACCUUAAAGAUCAUAACACCAAUAGAUCCUACAAGGGUUGGGAUGGGAGGACCUUUUGGAUCGUGGCACUGUGGGAUCCCACAAGGUUUGUGUUUUAAAGACGAUACAACCAUGAGAUCCUACAGUGGUUGGGUUGGGAGGAAUCUUUAGGAUCAUGGAAAUAUGGGAUCCUACAAUGGUUGGGGUGGAAGGGACCUUAAAGAUCAUAACACCACCUGAUCCUACAAGGGUUGGGGUGGAGGGGACCUUUAGGAUCGUGGCUGCCUGGGAUCCCACAAGGGUUGGGUUUUAGGGAUCUCAAAGACCACAGAACUGUGGGAUCCUACAGCGUUUGGGAUGGAGAGGACCUGUAGGAUCGUGGAACCACAAGAUCCUACAAUGGUUGGGGUGGAAGGGACCUUGAAGAUCAUAACACCACGGCAUCCUACAAGGGUUGGGGUGGGAGGACCUUUAGGAUCGUGGCAAUGUGGGAUCCCACAAGGGUUGGGUUUUAAAGACCAUACAACCAUGAGAUCCUACAGCGCUGUGCAAAGCUGUGAUGUGGAUUUUGGGUGAAAUAAAACCCAAAUUUGGGGGGAGAUU